GGGAAUGUAGGUCAGUGGUAAAGCACAUGCUUUGUUUGCAGAAGGUCCCAGGUUCAAUACCUGGUUGAUUUG